GACGGGGAGCAAAACGCCCGGCGUGAAGUGGAAUGGAAAGGUUUUCGGAUCGGGUUAAAAAGUUCUGUUGUUAGGGGAAAGAACAAAGUACCGUUUCGAAAUAGGGGCGGUACCUUGACGGUACCUAACCAGAAAAGCCACGGCUAAUUACGUGCCAGCAGCCGCGGUAAUACGUAGGUGGCAAGCGUUGUCCGGAAUUAUUGGGCGUAAAGGGCUCGCAGGCGGUUUCUUAAGUCUGAUGUGAAAGCCCCCGGCUCAACCGGGGAGGGUCAUUGGAAACUGGGGAACUUGAGUGCAGAAGAGGAGAGUGGAAUUCCACGUGUAGCGGUGAAAUGCGUAGAGAUGUGGAGGAACACCAGUGGCGAAGGCGACUCUCUGGUCUGUAACUGACGCUGAGGAGCGAAAGCGUGGGGAGCGAACAGGAUUAGAUACCCUGGUAGUCCACGCCGUAAACGAUGAGUGCUAAGUGUUAGGGGGUUUCCGCCCCUUAGUGCUGCAGCUAACGCAUUAAGCACUCCGCCUGGGGAGUACGGUCGCAAGACUGAAACUCAAAGGAAUUGACGGGGGCCCGCACAAGCGGUGGAGCAUGUGGUUUAAUUCGAAGCAACGCGAAGAACCUUACCAGGUCUUGACAUCCUCUGACAAUCCUAGAGAUAGGACGUCCCCUUCGGGGGCAGAGUGACAGGUGGUGCAUGGUUGUCGUCAGCUCGUGUCGUGAGAUGUUGGGUUAAGUCCCGCAACGAGCGCAACCCUUGAUCUUAGUUGCCAGCAUUCAGUUGGGCACUCUAAGGUGACUGCCGGUGACAAACCGGAGGAAGGUGGGGAUGACGUCAAAUCAUCAUGCCCCUUAUGACCUGGGCUACACACGUGCUACAAUGGACAGAACAAAGGGCAGCGAAACCGCGAGGUUAAGCCAAUCCCACAAAUCUGUUCUCAGUUCGGAUCGCAGUCUGCAACUCGACUGCGUGAAGCUGGAAUCGCUAGUAAUCGCGGAUCAGCAUGCCGCGGUGAAUA
rnacentral:rRNA from 1 species